rnacentral:rRNA from 1 species
UACAGAGGGGGCAAGCGUUGUUCGGAAUUACUGGGCGUAAAGGGCGCGUAGGCGGCCUGCUAAGUCGAACGUGAAAUCCCUGGGCUCAACCCAGGAACUGCGUCCGAUACUGGUUGGCUUGAAUCCGGGAGAGGGAUGUGGAAUUCCAGGUGUAGCGGUGAAAUGCGUUGAUAUCUGGAGGAACACCGGUGGCGAAGGCGACAUCCUGGACCGGUACUGACGCUGAGGCGCGAAAGCGUGGGGAGCAAACAGG